rnacentral:rRNA from 1 species
AGCAGCCGCGGUAAUUCCAGCUCCAAUAGCGUAUAUUAAAGUUGUUGCAGUUAAAAAGCUCGUAGUUGAAUUUCAGGCCUGGCUGGACGGUCCGCCCUUCGGGUGAGUACUGUCUGUGGUCGGGUCCUACCUUCUGGCGAAGCGUCAUGGCCUUAACCGGCCGUGGCGGGGAACCAGGACUUUUACUGUGAAAAAAUUAGAGUGUUCAAAGCAGGCAAUCGCUUGGAUACAUUAGCAUGGAAUAAUGGAAUAGGACAAUGGUUCUAUUUGUUGGUUUCUAGGACCGUUGUAAUGAUUAAUAGGGAUAGUUGGGGGCAUUAGUAUUCAAUUGUCAGAGGUGAAAUUCUUGGAUUUAUUGAAGACUAACUACUGCGAAAGCAUUUGCCAAGGAUGUUUUCAUUAAUCAAGAACGAAAGUUAGGGGAUCGAAGACGAUCAGAUACCGUCGUAGUCUUAACCAUAAACUAUGCCGACUAGGAAUCGGGCGAUGUUGACAAAAUGACGCGCUCGGCA